AUUGAACGCUGGCGGCAGGCCUAACACAUGCAAGUCGAGCGGUAGCACAGAGAGCUUGCUCUCGGGUGACGAGCGGCGGACGGGUGAGUAAUGUCUGGGAAACUGCCUGAUGGAGGGGGAUAACUACUGGAAACGGUAGCUAAUACCGCAUAACGUCGCAAGACCAAAGUGGGGGACCUUCGGGCCUCAUGCCAUCAGAUGUGCCCAGAUGGGAUUAGCUGGUAGGUGGGGUAACGGCUCACCUAGGCGACGAUCCCUAGCUGGUCUGGAAGGAUGACGAGCCAAACUGGAACUGAGACACGGUCCAGACUCCUACGGGAGGCAGAAGUGGGGAAUGUUGCACACUGGGCGCAAGCCUGAUGCAGCCAUGCCGCGUGUGUGAAGGAGGCCAUCGGGUUGUAAAGCACUUUCAGCGGGGAGGAAGGCGGUGAGGUUAAUAACCUCAUCGAUUGACGUUACCCGCAGAAGAAGCACCGGCUAACUCCGUGCCAGCCGCCGCAGUAAAAC
rnacentral:rRNA from 1 species